UACGAAGGGGGCUAGCGUUGCUCGGAAUCACUGGGCGUAAAGGGUGCGUAGGCGGGUCUUUAAGUCAGGGGUGAAAUCCUGGAGCUCAACUCCAGAACUGCCCUUGAUACUGAGGAUCUUGAGUUCGGGAGAGGUGAGUGGAACUGCGAGUGUAGAGGUGAAAUUCGUAGAUAUUCGCAAGAACACCAGUGGCGAAGGCGGCUCACUGGCCCGAUACUGACGCUGAGGCACGAAAGCGUGGGGAGCAAACAG
rnacentral:rRNA from 1 species